rnacentral:rRNA from 1 species
AUUGAACGCUGGCGGCAGGCCUAACACAUGCAAGUCGAACGAGUGGCGGACGGGUGAGUAAUGUCUGGGAAACUGCCUGAUGGAGGGGGAUAACUACUGGAAACGGUAGCUAAUACCGCAUACCAUCAGAUGUGCCCAGAUGGGAUUAGCUAGUAGGUGGGGUAACGGCUCACCUAGGCGACGAUCCCUAGCUGGGAUGAGAGGAUGACCAGCAACACUGGAACGGAGACACGGUCCAGACUCCUACGGGAGGCAGCAGUGGGUAAUAUUGCACAAUGGGCUAAAGCCUGAUGCAGCCAUGCCGCGGGUAUGAAGAAGGUCUUCGGGUUGUAAAGUACUUUCAGCGGGGAGGCGGUACCCGCAGAAGAAGCACCGGCUAACUCCGUGCCAGCAGCCGCGGUAAUAC